GCUUGUAGGCCCUGGAGACAGUCUGGAGUCCUCAGACGGACAGAAAGAAGACAUCAGAAGGGCAACCUGUGGUGCCUGUGGCUGCUGAGUACAGGACCAGGGCUGUGCAAGUAAGCAGAAUGGAAAGAAAGCAUCCUGCUUGGUAAUCAAACAAAGCAAGGCUUUAUUACAUCAGUGUUCAUUUCUCUGUCCGCCCAGAGAUGGGCACAAUGGCACAGAUACCCUGAAAAAGAAAGUAACAGGCGUGGGUGACUGAUUUUUAAGAAAUCGGCAACACGGAAGCUGAUUAUAAAAUAUUCAUAAGAAGCUGGCUUUUACAGGGAGGGUAGACCUGAAGCUUUCUUCUUUGUACACACUGACACAAGACUGCUGCUGCAUUGAUUCUUGAGCAAGGCGAACAAUGGAAGAAAGCCACUUUUUGUUGUUAAAGUGAGGUAGCAUUUCUGCUGUAGUUAGAAAGAGCAUUGUCUCUCCAGUGUCCCAAAUCACUUCCAUUAAACAGUCAAUGUGAUAA
rnacentral:lncRNA from 1 species